UGUCAACGGUGCUCAACGUGAUGUUCUCCUCUGCCGUACGAGUCGCUGCCACCUUGUGUUUUAUUGUGAAAUGUUUGUAAUGCAUUCAUUCGAAACAAGUCUCCAAAUUCUAGGAAUUUGAGCCAUUUACAACAGGAAUUGGCUGGAUGAGUGGCUAGUCUGCAGUUUUCUCAUCAGUCGCUGGUGGGAAUCUUGCGAUCAACAAUCAUGAGCAGGGCAGACGAAAAUGUCUCCAACUCGACUCUGUGGCCGACCAAUUUUUGUCCGUCGCAAAAAUCUGCAUCCAAGGAGAAGAAUCAAAAGUACAUUCCACCUCUGUUUGCCCGAGAUUUGCCCCCGAGCCGGUCGAGUUAUUUUUAGUCCCGGCUUAUCUCGCACCGACCUUGGUAUUCUUCGUUUUUAUUGUCGGUGUACACAUUUGCUUCUUUCACUACAUUGUGUCUUUGGCUCGAAAUAGUCUCCUUAUGCAAAUACACAACUCGGUUUUUUGCGGCACGUCCCGCUUUCAGGUCACUGGCCGUUGUGUGUAGUUUAUUUUUUCAUAGUGAUCAGAAAUCGGUACGUGAGCCAGGGGAUUGUUGCGAAACGAGACAUUCACCGCCGUUUGUCUGUGUACGUGUUUAUAAUAACUAUAUCGAUCAUUCCGUUUCUUAUUAUCGCAACUUUGUAUUUAUAUAUAUUUGAGUUUGGCCAAAGGCGAGAUUGCUGAAUGCGUUGUUUGUUGUUUUUAAUAAUAUUAGAGACUAUUUUAAUUCCAGGGAAAGUGAUUUCAGGGCACUAAAUUAAGCCGGCUUUUCUCUCACCGCCCCUAGCCAUUGUAACUAAGAAAAAAAUUCAACUUGGAUAAUAAACGUUUUAACGGUUGUCAGUAAA